rnacentral:rRNA from 1 species
GAAGGCCUUCGGGUUGUAAAGCACUUUCAGUCAGGAGGAAAGGUUAGUAGUUAAUACCUGCUAGCUGUGACGUUACUGACAGAAGAAGCACCGGCUAACUCCGUGCCAGCAGCCGCGGUAAUACGGAGGGUGCGAGCGUUAAUCGGAAUUACUGGGCGUAAAGCGUACGCAGGCGGUUUGUUAAGCGAGAUGUGAAAGCCCCGGGCUCAACCUGGGAACUGCAUUUCGAACUGGCAAACUAGAGUGUGAUAGAGGGUGGUAGAAUUUCAGGUGUAGCGGUGAAAUGCGUAGAGAUCUGAAGGAAUACCGAUGGCGAAGGCAGCCACCUGGGUCAACACUGACGCUCAUGUACGAAAGCGUGGGGAGCAAACGGGAUUAGAUACCCCGGUAGUCCACGCCGUAUACGAUGUCUACUAGAAGCUCGGAGCCUCGGUUCUGUUUUUCAAAGCUAAC